CAGCCGCCGCGGGAAUACGAAGGGUGCAAGCGUUAAUCGGAAUUACUGGGCGUAAAGCGUGCGUAGGCGGUUUGUUAAGUCUGCUGUGAAAUCCCCGGGCUCGACCUGGGAAUGGCAGUGGAUACUGGCAAGCUAGAGUGUGUCAGAGGAUGGUGGAAUUCCCGGUGUAGCGGUGAAAUGCGUAGAGAUCGGGAGGAACAUCAGUGGCGAAGGCGGCCAUCUGGGACAACACUGACGCUGAGGCACGAAAGCGUGGGGAGCAAACAGGAUUAGAUACCCCCGUAGUCCCUGUCUCUUAUAC
rnacentral:rRNA from 1 species